UUUCAGGUUUCAGGAAGUCAUGUAAACCAUUGUUAAGACAGAAUUAGUUGAUCCUCAAGAUUCUUUUAGUUCUAAGGUUCUGUGUGAUUUUAUCAGUCUGAGUAAUUGUAGCCUUUAGGGAUGUUCCCUGAAAAUCCCAGCCCUGCUUUGGCUCCCAUGCAGAGCUCAUUAGAAAGCAUUGCAGGUGCCCAGACAUUGGAAUUAAGCAGCCAAGCUAGUCAUGAUUUCAUUACUCAGUAGCUGUGGGCUAACCUGUUCAUGCAUUUCUGACCUGGAGGCAGCAGGUGUAGGAGAGAAACAGCUUGCAUUCCAGACAGGAGAAAACAAAACCAACUAUGAAAAACAAAACCACAAAACUCAACAAGGAAUAUAUUUGAAAAUAACUCAGAUGAAGAUGAAGGAAAAAUCUCCAGGACAAUUUUUAAAAAUAAUAAACCAACAAUCAUACAAUUGACAUACAUACUUUCUUCAUUUACUGUCCAUAUAUAUGGUUCUCCAGACUCAUAAUACCUUUCUGUGGAUAAGACUUCUCUAGAAAAACCAAUAAAUUUGGGGUUGCUAGAGUUUCAACUCCAUGCUAUACACAGAACU